rnacentral:rRNA from 1 species
CCUACGGGCGGCAGCAGUGAGGAAUAUUGGUCAAUGGACGAGAGUCUGAACCAGCCAAGUAGCGUGAAGGAUGACUGCCCUAUGGGUUGUAAACUUCUUUUAUAUGGGAAUAAAACGUUCCACGUGUGGGAUUUUGUAUGUACCAUAUGAAUAAGGAUCGGCUAACUCCGUGCCAGCAGCCGCGGUAAUACGGAGGAUCCGAGUGUUAUCCGGAUUUAUUGGGUUUAAAGGGAGCGUAGGUGGAUUGUUAAGUCAGUUGUGAAAGUUUGCGGCUCAACCGUAAAAUUGCAGUUGAAACUGGCAGUCUUGAGUACAGUAGAGGUGGGCGGAAUUCGUGGUGUAGCGGUGAAAUGCUUAGAUAUCACGAAGAACUCCGAUUGCGAAGGCAGUUCACUGGACUGCAACUGACACUGAGGCUCGAAAGUGUGGGUAUCAAACAGGAUUAGAUACCCCAGUAGUC